rnacentral:rRNA from 1 species
AUGGUGAGCUGGCCCGACAUUUGCAAACCCAAGGAUGAGGGUGGUCUUGGGAUCUUGUCUUCUCGGUGCAUGAACAUUGCUCUCCUGACCCGAUGGCUCUGGCGAAUCGCCAAUGGGAAGGGAGGACUCUGGCUUACCAUAAUCCACAAUAAGUACCUUUGGGGCCAACCUCUAUCUUUCUGUCAGCGAUCUGGUGGCUCCCAGUUCUGGUAG